CCGCGCUAGGUGGGGAGAUAGCGGUGCCCUGCACCCGCAAACCGCUACAGCGGGACCGAAUUCCCUUCCUCGGAAUUCCGGCGGUCGAUUCUGGUUCGCAACCGGCGCGACGAAGGUUGGGCCCCGUGCGACGGGAAACUCCGAACUCCGUCAGGUCUGGAAGGAAGCAGCGGUAAGGGGACCUUUCCGGGCGCCGCGGGAUCACCUGGCCCGAGCGGCGGGGGCGGAUCGUGGCGGCCAAAUGGGUUACAACGAAGGGUGCGCGG
rnacentral:SRP_RNA from 2 species